GACGGGGGGGGCAAGUGUUCUUCGGAAUGACUGGGCGUAAAGGGCACGUAGGCGGUGAAUCGGGUUGAAAGUGAAAGUCGCCAAAAAGUGGCGGAAUGCUCUACGAAACCAAUUCACUUGAGUGAGACAGAGGAGAGUGGAAUUUCGUGUGUAGGGGUGAAAUCCGUAAAUAUACGAAGGAACGCCAAAAGCGAAGGCAGCUCUCUGGGUCCCUAC
rnacentral:rRNA from 1 species